UGGAAGACCUUGUUCAAGAUGCCGUAGUCUCUGUCUACGGUUGCCAAGGCACCUCUUAGCCAGUCCCAUUCGGAGGAAUCGUAAUGUGGCAGUGCUGUGUGAGUGUGUUGAAGGUAUGUGAUUAGGACGAGGAAUCCAUUUACGAUCAGAAGUGGAACUCCGUAAACACAAACCACCCAAGCCAAUCCUUUGGCUAGAACAAGGCGGUAGAGCCCAUAGGUGACAGUUAGCAGCCCAGCGUCCGAAAUGAAUAUCUGUAACCGCUCACGGUCAGUGUAGAUGGGACCGUAUGGGUCAUAGUGGCAGGCAAAACGGUCGUAGGGACGGCCAGAGACGUUGAAGGCCAAGUAAAGAGGCCAGCCUAGGACCAGUUGGAUGGUGAGGGUGAGGACACGGCCUACAGGGUUGUUGAUGUAUGUGGAGUACCAUUUCAUGUCGGAUUUCUGUUUAGGGACAAAGACUUCAUCUCGUUCAAGAGAUCCGGUGUUGGAAUGGUGUCGACGGUGGCUGUAUUUCCAAGAGAAGUAGGGGACCAUGAGAAACGAGUGGAGGAUAAGGCCAACGGUGUCAUCCAGCCACUGGUAAUCACUGAAGGCGUGGUGGCCACACUCGUGGGCAAUGACCCAAACGCCAGUAAGGACGCAGCCUUGGGCAGCCCAGUACAAAGCCCAGGCUGGAUAAAAUAAGAGGCUAGGAAGAUUUUGGAAAUAUGUGGUUGCAAUGUAAUAGAAGAUAGAGGCUAAGGUUAGGUCAUAAACGACAUAGGAGAAAGAACGAAGGACUGAACGUUGAAAGCAAUGAGGUGGAAUAGCUUUCUUGAGCUCACCAAGUGUGAAUGGGGGUUUUG
rnacentral:lncRNA from 1 species